UUAUAGUCUAAAGCCGUCUGUGUGCUGCCCCCUACAGGUUGAAACGAGGUAUUACAGUAGAAUUUUGUGAUUGUUCAAUUGGUUUAAGUCCCACAUAUUUCACAAGUUCUGCACCCUCAUGCUCUGCAGCUCCAGUAUAAAAGGUCCUCACAUCUUUGUGUGCUCGACACCGAGAGUUGAAGCUCACCACGCCACCGUUGGAGCUCUUUCCCGCAACGCCAUGAGCGGUGGAGGUUGCUCCGCGGUGUUGACGCCAUGAGCGGUGGAGGUCUCUCCGCUGAGAACGACAGAGCUUGAUUGCUCACUAAACCGGCCCUUGGCAAGAUGGCUGGUCGGCAGACAGGGAGCCACAGUGGGAUGGGGAGGCAGCCUGCUUGGGCCACCUAAACUUUUUUUUUUCUUUUUUUUUUUUUCUACAGAACAAAACA